rnacentral:rRNA from 1 species
AUUGAACGCUGGCGGUAGGCCUAACACAUGCAAGUCGAACGGAAGCACAGUGAGAGCUUGCUGUUUCGGGUGCCGACUGGCGGGCAGGUGAGAGGUACCUCGGUGUCUGCUGGUUAUAGCGGGAGGACAUGGGGACUAAUACGCUAAUAGUCCAUAGGAAGUACGGGUGAAAGCUUGGGAUCUUCGGCUCUUGCGCGAUUCAAGGUGGCUAGGUCGGAUUAGCUAGUUGGCGGGGUAAAGGCCCACCAAGGCGACGAUCCGUAACUAGUCUGAGAGGAUGAUCAGCCACACUGGAACUGAGACACGGUCCAGACUCCUACGGGAGGCAGCAGUGGGGAAUAUUGGACAAUGGGCGAAAGCCUGAUCCAGCCAUGCCGCGUGUGUGAAGAAGGUCUUCGGAUUGUAAAGCCCUUUUGUUUGGGAAGAAGAGCAGUAAGUUAAUACCUCGCUGUUUUGACGGUACCAACAGAAUAAGCACCGGCUAACUUCGUG